UACGGAGGAUGCAAGCGUUAUCCGGAUUUAUUGGGUUUAAAGGGUGCGUAGGCGGAGUGAUAAGUCAGUGGUGAAAUCUUGCAGCUUAACUGUAAAAUUGCCAUUGAUACUGUUAUUCUUGAGUACGGUUGAGGUAGGCGGAAUGUGUAAUGUAGCGGUGAAAUGCUUAGAUAUUACACAGAACACCGAUUGCGUAGGCAGCUUACCAAUCCGCAACUGACGCUGAGGCACGAAAGCGUGGGGAUCGAACAGG
rnacentral:rRNA from 1 species